GACACGCUGGCGGCGUGCCUAACACAUGCAAGUCGAGCGGGGUCAUGGAGCAGCUUGCUGCGAAGUGACUUAGCGGCGGACGGGUGAGUAACGCGUGAGCAAUCUGCCUCAUACAGGGGGAUAACAGUCGGAAACGACUGCUAAUACCGCAUAAGACCACAGCGCCGCAUGGUGCAGGGGUCAAAGGAGUAACAUCCGGUAUGAGAUGAGCUCGCGUCCCAUUAGCUAGUUGGCAGGGUAAUGGCCUACCAAGGCGACGAUGGGUAGCCGACCUGAGAGGGUGACCGGCCACACUGGGACUGAGACACGGCCCAGACUCCUACGGGAGGCAGCAGUGGGGAAUAUUGCGCAAUGGGGGGAACCCUGACGCAGCAACGCCGCGUGAGUGAAGAAGGUCUUCGGAUCGUAAAACUCUGUCAUAGGGGAAGAAGGAAGUGACGGUACCCUAUGAGGAAGCCCCGGCUAACUACGUG
rnacentral:rRNA from 1 species